AUUGAACGCUGGCGGCAUGCUUUACACAUGCAAGUCGAACGGCAGCGCGGGCUUCGGCCUGGCGGCGAGUGGCGAACGGGUGAGUAGUACAUCGGAACGUGCCCAGUAGUGGGGGAUAGCUCGGCGAAAGCCGGAUUAAUACCGCAUACGACCUGAGGGUGAAAGCGGGGGAUCUUCGGACCUCGCGCUAUUGGAGCGGCCGAUGGCAGAUUAGCUAGUUGGUGGGGUAAAGGCCUACCAAGGCGACGAUCUGUAGCUGGUCUGAGAGGACGACCAGCCACACUGGGACUGAGACACGGCCCAGACUCCUACGGGAGGCAGCAGUGGGGAAUUUUGGACAAUGGGCGAAAGCCUGAUCCAGCAAUGCCGCGUGUGUGAUGAAGGCCUUCGGGUUGUAAAGCACUUUUGGCGGGAACGAAAAGGACUGUGCAAAUACCACGGUUCGAUGACGGUACCCGCAGAAUAAGCACCGGCUAACUACGUG
rnacentral:rRNA from 1 species